UACAGAGGGGGCAAGCGUUGUUCGGAAUUACUGGGCGUAAAGGGCGCGUAGGCGGCCUGUUAAGUCAGACGUGAAAUCCCUCGGCUCAACCGGGAACUGCGUCCGAUACUGCAGGCGUUGAAUCCGGGAGAGGGAUGUGGAAUUCCAGGUGUAGCGGUGAAAUGCGUAGAUAUCUGGAGGAACACCGGUGGCGAAGGCGGCAUCCUGGACCGGCAUGUGACGCUGAGGCGCGAAAGCUGAGG
rnacentral:rRNA from 1 species